rnacentral:rRNA from 1 species
UACGGGGGGGGGCAAGCGUUGUUCGGAAUUACUGGGCGUAAAGGGCUCGUAGGCGGCCAACUAAGUCAGACGUGAAAUCCCUCGGCUUAACCGGGGAACUGCGUCUGGUACUGGAUGGCUUGAGGUUGGGAGAGGGAUGCGGAAUUCCAGGUGUAGCGGUGAAAUGCGUAGAUAUCUGGAGGAACACCGGUGGCGAAGGCGGCAUCCUGGACCAAUUCUGACGCUGAGGAGCGAAAGCCAGGGGAGCAAAGCGGG